rnacentral:lncRNA from 1 species
GGUACCUACAAGGAGGGUGUCUCACCGAACGGUAGCUAAGACCUCACCACAACCGCGCGGGAGCGAGGAGUCGCGGCCAAAGGCGCCCGCCCGAGCCUCCGCUCUGGGCCGGACCCCAGCCCGAGCGGCCGAAAGAAGCCCCCCGCCCGGAUCGCAGGCUGCCAUGAAGAUGGAGAUCUAGGCAAACAUAGUGUUCUAGCACCUCUAAUGAUGGAAACAGACAUUUCAGAGGUACACAAUUAUUCUUCAGCAAACAAUAGUACAUUAGAGUGGAAACAUUGGAGUCAGUGAAAAGAGAGAACUCUUGCUCUAGUUCAUAUGGUGUUGUGAUCUUAAACCAGUUAUUAAUCUCUUCAGACCAAGUUUGCCUUUUCUAUAAAGUGGGUAUUAUAAUAACAGGGAGGGAUCCCUUAAGAAAUGGCUUUUAAAUAUUCUGUGGAAUAGCACAGAGUCUGCCCUUGUGUAAAUACUCAGUAAACUUUAUGUGUCGCUAUUAAUUUGUAGGAUGUUUUGAUGGCUUUAAGUAAAUAUAGGUUUUCUAUUUGAAAAGUUCUAUUUUUAGUAUGUUGUACUAAGGAGUGCUCUUUCACUCCUAUACUAAGGAGGAAAAUCUUUAAAAACAGAGAUGUAAUUCAGAAUAUUAUGAUUCUGUAAACUUGUUGACUUCAAAACAUGAAACUUGAAUAAUUUGGUUUCAUAUGUGGUAGAAAUAACCUAUAAACAAUAUUUUACAUUAACUAAAUGUUUCUUUCAUAGUUGGCAUCAGGUUCAGAUUUUUGAACUGGAAUGUGGUUACAAUGGUGAAUGAGAUAUUGUAUAUUUAAAAAUCUCGUCACUCUAUGGUAUGUUUAAUGACCAAAAUUAUGAUGUAAGACCAUUCAGUUAAAUAUUAAUUCCAUGCGACUAAUUUAAGAGCAAAAAGUUAGAAUGUGAUG